UAUGGCUAUAUCAAACUGAAACACCGGUUAUCAUACAGUCACCAAAGUUAAGCAAUGUCUAGCUUGUUCAGUACUUAGAUGGGUGACUGCAUGUGAUUACCAGGUGCUGUGG